UACGUAGGCAGCAAGCGUUGUUCGGAGUUACUGGGCGUAAAGGGUGUGUAGGCGGUUAUUUAAGUUUGGUGUGAAAUCUCCCGGCUCAACCGGGAGGGUGCGCCGAAUACUGAAUGACUUGGAGUGCGGGAGAGGAAAGUGGAAUUCCUGGUGUAGCGGUGAAAUGCGUAGAUAUCAGGAGGAACACCGGUGGUGUAGACGGCUUUCUGGACCGUAACUGGCGCUGAGACACGAAAGCGUGGGUAGCAAACAGG
rnacentral:rRNA from 1 species